rnacentral:rRNA from 1 species
CAAUAGCGUAUAUUAAAGUUGUUGCAGUUAAAAAGCUCGUAGUUGGAUUUCUGGUAGGAGUGACCGUUCCGAACUUGAUUGUUCGUGUAUUGUGUUUUCUCCAGCCAUCCUUGUGGAGAACUUUUCUUGCAUUAAUUUGUAGGGAUUGGGACCCGCAUCGUUUACUGUGAAAAAAUUAGAGUGUUUAAAGCAGGCAAUCGCUUGAAUACAUUAGCAUGGAAUAAUAAGAUAGGACUUUGGUACUAUUUUGUUGGUUUGCAUACCAAAUUAAUGAUCAACAGGAACAGUUUGAGGAUAUUCGUAUGAACAUGUCAGAGGUGAAAUUCUUGGAUUUUGAUCAGACGAACUACUGCGAAAGCAUUUACCAAGGAUGUUUUCAUUAA